GGUGAGGUGCCCGAGUGGCCGAAGGGGACAGUUUGCUAAACUGUUAUACGGAUGAAAGUCCGUAUCGCGGGUUCGAAUCCCGCCCUCACCGCGA
rnacentral:tRNA from 1 species